rnacentral:rRNA from 1 species
GAUGAACGCUGGCGGCGUGCCUAAUACAUGCAAGUCGAGCGAACAGACGAGGAGCUUGCUCCUCUGACGUUAGCGGCGGACGGGUGAGUAACACGUGGAUAACCUACCUAUAAGACUGGGAUAACUUCGGGAAACCGGAGCUAAUACCGGAUAAUAUAUUGAACCGCAUGGUUCAAUAGUGAAAGACGGUUUUGCUGUCACUUAUAGAUGGAUCCGCGCCGCAUUAGCUAGUUGGUAAGGUAACGGCUUACCAAGGCAACGAUGCGUAGCCGACCUGAGAGGGUGAUCGGCCACACUGGAACUGAGACACGGUCCAGACUCCUAAGGGAGGGAGCAGUAGGGAAUCUUCCGCAAUGGGCGGAAGCCUGACGGAGCAAAGCCGCGUGAGUGAUGAAGGUCUUCGGAUCGUAAAACUCUGUUAUUAGGGAAGAACAAAUGUGUAAGUAAAUAUGCACGUCUUGACGGUACCUAAUCAGAAAGCCACGGCUAACUACGUG